CAACUCAAUAAUAAAUACACAUGAAAAUAAGUAUUUUAACAUUAAAAGGUAAAUAUUAAAAUUAAUUACAGUUAGGUUAACUUCAGCUAUAAAUCCCAAUAAAAUACUUAGCACAUGUUAUAUAAAUAAUAAAAAAGAGAAUAUUUUAUACGAUAUAUUGCAAACAUGAGACAAUAAUGAAGAAAAUACAAGAUUGUAGAUAAC
rnacentral:lncRNA from 1 species